rnacentral:rRNA from 1 species
GCAGGCUGCAACUCGCCUGCGUGAAGUUGAAGGGUUNCUAGUAAUCGCGGAUCAGCAUGCCGCGGUGAAUACGUUCCCGGGCCUUGUACACACCGCCCGUCACACCAUGGGAGUUUGUAACACCCGAAGUCAGUAUCCUAACCGCGAAGGGGGGAGCUGCCGAAGGUGGGAUAAGCGACUGGGGUGAAGUCGUAACAAGGUAUC